rnacentral:pre_miRNA from 1 species
AUACAAAUCUCCUGGGGAUUUUGUUUAAAAUGCAGAUUCUGCAUCAGUAGGUUUGAAGUAGAGCUGAGCGUCUGCAUUUCUAAGAAUAGCCAGGCGAUGCCCUA